rnacentral:rRNA from 1 species
UGAGGAAGGCCUUAGGGUUGUAAAGCUCUUUCACCCACGACGAUGAUGACGGUAGUGGGAGAAGAAGCCCCCGGCUAACUUACGUCGC